CCAAGGCUGUCUCCGUGCCAAAACCCAGCCUGAAUGCCAACUGAAAUGGAUCCUGAUAAUCACUCCCAUCCAAGAGUGCCUGGAGCUGGUUGGCCAUGGAGAUGUUUGCCAGCAACCUGAAAUGAUUACGAUCUUCUGGGUCCAGGGAAGCUUUCUCCAGGAGCCGCCUCACCAUUGCCUGUUUCAGGUGGCAUGGGACCUUUCCCUUCCAUAAAGAGGCAUUCAUCACCUCCCUGACCCAGCUAGCUGUUCCCUCCCUGCCAGCUCUUAUUAGCCAAGAGGGGCAAGAAUCCAGUACAGAUGUAGUUGCACAAACUUGUCCAAGCACCUUGCACUAAUUGGAACUCAUCCAAGAUAACUUGACCAGGUUAUGCUCUGGCUCUCUGGACUGCUUCAACCGCAAUAACAUUGGAGUCUGAAGUCCUUAUGGAUGGAAGGGAUCUUAUCCUGCAAGUGCCUAGCAAAUAUAUUGAAGCACUUUUCAGAUGGCACCAAGAUGAUUGUGGGGCGGCCCCAGAUGAUCCUAGAGAGCUCUGCUGGAUGGCAGGAGCUGUGGGCCCAUGUCUUGAAAGACAACCUGGAAGAUCUGGUGAGAGAGCCUUUUAAACUCUGAAAAGCUUGGAUCAGAUGCUGAGACUGCAGAAACAGUAGAUGGUGCUGUGGGAGUGCUCCUGAAGAUACAAGGGAAUCAUUGUUUUCAGCAGGAACAAGAGCUGGCAGCUAGGAUGCCCUCGGUGCAAGCAGGCCGGGUGCUGGUGAAGGGCUGGAUCUCUGCUCCGCGAGAGGAUAGAUGCCCACCAGUUCAUAAGCAGAGCAGCCAACGGGUCACAAACCCUCCUUCCCUGGAGUCUCCUGCAUUGCACAGCUGCCUGUCGUUGCUCUGUCUCAUCACUGCUACAUUUCAGCUGGACAUUGCUUGUGGCCAUGAACCAAGCUGGUUUCGAAAGUCCAGGUAUUCCUUAUUAUCUUCCUGAGAAGGAAAACAUUCCUCUUCAUUUCCUCCACGCCAAGCAUUAUUUUAGCCCAUUUGCACCUGGAUGUGUUCCCAAUCCUGGAAAAGAUUAAAACCAAACCCAAAAUGC